rnacentral:rRNA from 1 species
UCUGGCUAGAUCACGCUGGCGGCGUGCCUAACACAUGCAAGUCGAGCGCGAACGGGGACUUCGGUUCUCAAGUAGAGCGGCGAACGGGUGAGUAACACGUGGGUAAUCUGCCUCCGGGUGGGGAAUAACUCAGGGAAACUUGAGCUAAUUCCGCAUAAUGUCUCGGACCAUUGGGUCUGUGACCAAAGCUGGGGACCCUUCGGGGCCUGGCGCCGGGAGAGGAGCCCGCGGCCAAUUAGCUUGUUGGUGAGGUAAUGGCUCACCAAGGCUGCGAUUGGUAGCCGGCCUGAGAGGGCGGACGGCCACACUGGAACUGAGAUACGGUCCAGACUCCUACGGGAGGCAGCAGUGAGGAAUUUUCGUCAAUGGGGGAAACCCUGAACGAGCAACGCCGCGUGGAGGACGAAGACCUUCGGGUUGUAAACUCCUGUCGGACGGGACGAAUGUUAUUGAGGUUAAUACCCUUGGUAGUUGACGGUACCGUACGAGGAAGCUCCGGCUAACUUCGUGCCAGCAGCCGCGGUAAUACGAGGGGAGCAAGCGUUGUUCGGAAUUACUGGGCGUAAAGGGCGCGUAGGCGGUUUGGCAAGUCUUCUGUGAAAGCCCACGGCUCAACCGUGGAACUGCAGAGGAAACUGCCAGACUUGAGUCCGGGAGGGGAGAGUGGAAUUCCCAGUGUAGCGGUGAAAUGCGCAGAUAUUGGGAGGAACACCGGAGGCGAAGGCGUCUCUCUGGACCGGUACUGACGCUGAGGCGCGAAAGCCAGGGGAGCGAACGGGAUUAGAUACCCCGGUAGUCCUGGCCGUAAACGAUGAGUACUGGAUGUGGCGGGUAUUGACCCCUGCCGUGUCGGCGCUAACGCAUUAAG